UACGUAGGGGGCAAGCGUUGUCCGGAAUCAUUGGGCGUAAAGCGCGUGUAGGCGGCUCGAUAAGUCUGCUGUGAAAGUCCAGGGCUCAACCCUGGGAUGCCGGUGGAUACUGUCGAGCUCGAGUCCGGAAGGGGCGAGUGGAAUUCCUGGUGUAGCGGUGAAAUGCGCAGAUAUCAGGAGGAACACCAAUGGCGAAGGCAGCUCGCUGGGACGAGACUGACGCUGAGACGCGAAAGCGUGGGGAGCAAACAGG
rnacentral:rRNA from 1 species